UAUUGAUUCCAUAAUAAUACUUGCCACAGUCAGAAUCCUCGAUUUUAGGCUACACGAAUGCGCAUGAUUCAUUGGCUUCGAAAGGAUUAGUACCUAAUCAAUAUCCUUAAUAAUUUAUGAGUUUAUAACCUUGGAAAGAUGAAGCUUCAUUGUUCAAGAAGUCUUCCAGACAAUGCAUAGGCUAUAAAUAUUUAAAUAAAUACUUGUGGGGCAGACUCAUCUCUGAAUAUAUCCCAUCUUUUCCAGUGAAGACAAUAUGUUGGAAGUUCAAAGAACUGGGGAAUCUGCAGAUAGCCAAGUGAAACUUUGCAGAUCAGGCAAGACGUAGAGAACCUGUGCCCUCAGAUGUUCUAUAACUCCCAGCAUCCCUCACCGAGUGGCCCUUCGACGGCGUGCAUCCCGGAACAACUCACAGUUGGUUUCUGGAUCACUCUCCCUUGUCUCCUCCCUACUGA